UACAGAGGUCCCGAGCGUUGUUCGGAUUCACUGGGCGUAAAGGGUGCGUAGGUGGUGAGGUAAGUCGGAUGUGAAAUCUCCGGGCUCAACCCGGAAAUGGCAUUGGAAACUACCUUGCUGGAGGAUUUGAGGGGGGAUUGGAAUACUUGGUGUAGCAGUGAAAUGCGUAGAUAUCAAGUGGAACACCAGUGGCGAAGGUGAAUCCCUGGAAAAUACCUGACACUGAGGCACGAAAGCUAGGGGAGCAAACAGG
rnacentral:rRNA from 1 species